GCCUUUCAUUGUCCUGAAGACUGGCGGAGGCCACAGGAGAGUUUUUCAGAAACUUUUGGAGGUCUAAAAACUUGUGUUUUUGCUCAUCCGCACAAGCACCAUGAACCACUUUCUGCCUCGUGACCUGCAGGUUUCCACCCAACUCUGAGGACAAGUCUAUCCUCCGUUGUAAAGUCAAGAGAUUGAACGUCUGGCUCAUCCUCCAGGCUGCAAGGCGCCUAAACAAUAAGACGUUUGCUCCGGUUGUUUUCCAGAAAGCUGGAGUCAGCUGUGUCUAGUUCAGCUGCGCAAGAGUCAGCGGUGUCCAGUUUGAGCUGAGCUGGUUGAGACUGGCUGGGACCACUGACCUUUCAACUGAGUGUGCGAACAUGCAAAGGCCUGUUGCUGAGCUAUGCCUGCACAAAGCGACGACCGGGACACCCUUUUCUAUCACCUUUCCCCACGGUCCCGUGUCUCAGACGACCUGCUUCUUCAGUCUUCAUCCCAUAAACACAUAAGCCCCUUGCCUGAGGGGAACCGGAUUUGGGGUUUGUUUUCCCAUCUCCUUGCUUGGUGGCCCUGCUGAUGGAUCCUCUCUUUGCUGCAGACCUUGGUGUCUCAGUGUUUUGGGUUGCGGUGCACCCAGGUGGGUGAGAAGCUGAGAGCUGAGCAUCACACCUGGAGAUGGAGCCUGGCGGGAAGACGAGCUCAUGUUGGCAAAGCUGCAUGCUGGCAGAUAACAGCCUCUUUUCCAGCCCUGGGGCAGUUUCCAGCUUCUCCAGUCACGUUCAACCCACAGCUGUAGCCGGAGAAGCCAGAGGGGAGAGAGCUACUCCAACCAUGGGAGGAAGCCUGCUGCUUCCGGAUCCCAUCAUAGAGCCCCGCUGGGGAGGGGCCAGAGUGGGAGCCCCCCACGGUCCUCCAUCCUCGAGCGCAGAGGAGAUGGGAGAGAGGCAGCGGUCUCUGCCUGGGGCUGGUCCACCCUAGCUCAGCUGAAACACAGGCUUCUCCAGCCCCGAGUCCAUGGGGUUGGACAGAAGGCAGUUUGGGGCCCCUCCCACCCAGACUGUGGGGCAGGCCCAGGACGCAUGCCUGUCGUAGAUGCUGGCCCUUCAGGAGUGGCUGCCCUGGGUAGGUUGGGGCUGGGAUGAAAGCCUGAGGCCUGGUCUCUGGGUCACUGUGUUGGGUAACUGCUGGCCAUGUUUGUAGAGCAUGCACACUCUUGUGUUCUGAUCUCUGCAGACCGUCCUUGAAGGAUGUGUGCUCCUGGGUCUGGGUAAUGUUUUUCCUUUCUCUUAAAAGAUAGACUUCUAAGAGCAGCUUUAGGUUCACAGCUAAACUAGGUGGAAAGUGUGACAUUUCAAUAUUCCUCCUCCCUCACACCCGUGGCUUCCCCGUCAUCAUCUCCACCGGUUGGUACUUGUGUUACAACUGAUGACCCCACAUGGACAUGUCAUUAUGACCCAGAGUCCACAGUUGACAUCAGGGGUCACUGUAGGUGGUGUGUGUCCUGUGGGUUUGGCCAAACAAAUAAUGACACGUAUAUUAUACAUCAAUACAGUAUCAUACAGAGAAGUUUCACUGCCCUAAAAACUCUCUGUUCUCCACCUGUUCAUCCCUCCCUCGCCACAAUCCCUCAAAAUCAGACCUUUUUAUCCUUGGCAUAUCUUGCCUUUUCCGUGACAUCAAACUAGUUGCAAUCAUAUAGCGUGUAGCCUUUGUUUCCUCCAUGUCUUCAUGACUUGACAGCUCGCUUAUUUUAGCAUGUAAUAAUAUUCCCAUCUGGAUGCCCUGUAGUUCAUUUAUCCAUCACCUACUGAAGGACACUUUGGUUGUUUUCAAGCUUUGGCAAUUAUGAAUAAAGUCACUGUGAAAAAGCACCCAUGUGCAAGUUUUUGUAUGGACAUGAGCGUCUUAAGAGGCAGGGAGGUGGUUUACUAUCUGGUCCUUGCUGGAAGCUUCCCUUGUAGCUCAGUUGGUAAAGAAUCUGCCUGCCAAUGCAGGAGACCAGUGUUUGAUCCCUGGGUUGGGAAGAUUCCCUGGAGAAGGAAAUGGCAACCCACUCCCGUAUUCUUGCCUGGAGAAUCCCAUGGACAGAGAAGCCUGGCAGGCUACAUUCCAUGGAGUCACAACAGUCGGACAUGGCUUAGUGACUAAACCACCUUGCUGGAAGGUCUCAGGGUCGGGCUGCGUGGAGAAGCUUCCCUGGGGGACCUGGAAACACCUGGUUUCUCACUGGCUUAGCUCCAGGGGGAACCCAUGUCCGUGUGUCUGGGAAAGAGGGCAGGCGAAGGAAGCCACUGAUGGAGAGGGAAAGGAAAGGCAAACGGGAAGAAAAAGAGAGGAAAAGGCUGUGUGGAUUAAACCAGAAUCCAGAUUUUUCUGAUCCUGUUGCCAAACGGUAACAUAGGACACGGAUGUCGAGUCGUUGAGGCAGGUUUGUGUGUCUCUGAGAGGGUAGAGAGUAGACCAUCCGUAUUUGAUGAACAUUCUGCCUUUAUUAUGAAAAGUGAAGCCUGGGGGUUCAGAGGGGGUUAAGAGAUUAAGGACUUGGAUACAAUCCUGGAAUUUCAUUCUUUAUAACUUUUGCACUUUUAAUGAAAAAUUUCAAACAUCUCUUCAAAGAGAUAUGCAGAGUAUAA
ensembl:lncRNA